UGGCGGCGGCGGAGAGGAGGCGGCAGGGCCGCAGCAGAGAGCCGGGGCUGAGGGGCCAGCGAUGCUCGGCGGGCGGAGCGGCGGCAUGCGGCGGUGUCGGGGCGCGGGGCUGGCGGCGCUGGCCGCGGUGCUGCUCGUGGCUUCAGGCAGAGCCCAGGUACAGCAGGAGGCAUUCGUGGAGACCACCGAGGAAAUCGGCAUCAGCAUCAACUGCUCACACCCCACCAAGCAGCUCGGAUACUACAUCCAUUUCUACCGUCAGCUCCCGGGAGGAGAACCCAAACUUCUCGUGAGCGCUCACAAAGGAUUCAAGGAGCUGCCAGACAUCGCAGGAGAGCUGAGGGUGUCGGAGGACGGGCGGAGCAGCGCGCUGUGGCUGCGGCGGCCCCGGCGCGGGGACGCGGCCGUGUAUUACUGCGCGCUGGGCGCACGGGCAGAGGAGCCGGGGCUGCGGCCGGGCACGAACCGCCGCGGGCGGGGCCGGGAAAUCCUCAACAGCCUUAUCAACACCAUGGGGGAAAUAUAA